AGAGUUUGAUCCUGGCUCAGGACGAACGCUGGCGGCGUGCCUAACACAUGCAAGUUGAGCGGAGAUAUGGAGAGCUUGCUCUUUAUAUUUUAGCAGCGAACGGGUGAGUAACACGUAGAUAAUUUGUCCUAUAUUGGGGGAUAGGCCGAUGAAAAUUGGAUUAAUACCGCAUACAGCUAUUUAACCGCAUGGGGAGAUAGUGAAAGGGGAAACUUAAUAUAGGAGGAGUCUGCGGCACAUUAGCUAGUAGGUGAGGUAAGAGCUCACCUAGGCGACGAUGUGUAGCCGG
rnacentral:rRNA from 1 species